rnacentral:rRNA from 1 species
CCUACGGGUGGCAGCAGGGAGGAAUAUUGGUCAAUGGGCGGGAGGCUGAACCAGCCAAGUAGCGUGAGGGAAGAAGGCCCUACGGGUUGUAAACCGCUUUUGUAAGGGGGCAAGAUGCUCGUCGGGACGAGCUGUGCAAGUACCUGACGAAUAAGCACCGGCUAACUCCGUGCCAGCAGCCGCGGUAAUACGGAGGGUGCGAGCGUUAUCCGGAUUUAUUGGGGUUAAAGGGAGCGUAGGCGGCGGCACAAGUCAGCGGUAAAAUCGCGGGGCUCAACCCCGCCCCGCCGUUGAAACCGGGUGCCUUGAGUGCGCGACAGGUAGGCGGAAUUCGUGGUGUAGCGGUGAAAUGCAUAGAUAUCACGCGGAACCCCGAUUGCGAAGGCAGCCUACCGGCGUGCGACUGACGCUCAGGCACGAAAGUGUGGGUAUCAAACAGGAUUAGAUACCCUUGUAGUC